rnacentral:sRNA from 2 species
GCAAGAGGUCCGCACGAACCGCCGGCAGGGGCGGGGGACCCAAUCUGGGCACUUCGGUGUCCUUGGGGUGAAGCCCCGUCGCAGACCUCGGUCUGGGACAGGGCCGGGUGUUCUCCCAUCCGAACCCGACAGCUGACCUCGUAGGCGACUAGGAGAACGCGC